rnacentral:rRNA from 1 species
AAUCCUAAGUUUCAUACUUGCGUACGUACUUCCCAGGCGGCAGACUUAACGGCUUCCCUGCGGCACUGAUGGCCACAAGCCUGCAUCACCGAUCUGCAUCGUUUACAGCUGGGACUACCCGGGUAUCUAAUCCGGUUUGCUCCCCCAGCUUUCAUCCCUCACCGUCAACGUGUCUGGUACACCGCCUUCGCACAGGUGGUCUUCAAUAGAUCAAAGGAUUUUACCCCUUCCUAUCGAGUACCGUGUACCUCUCCCACUCCCUAGCUGCACAGUAUUUUCGGCUGCCUAUACGUUAAGCGCAUAGAUUUAACCGAAAACUUAUGCAACCGGCNUACGGAUGCUUUAGGCCCAAUAAACCUCCUGACCACUCGAGGUGCUGGUUUUACCGCGGCGGCUGACACCAGAACUUGCCCACCCCUUAUUCACCAGUGAUUCUACAACUGACAAAAGACUCCUUUAGCAGGAGACACUCGGAUUAACCUUGUCGUGCUUUCGCACAUUGCAAAGGUUUCUCGCCUGCUGCGCCCCAUAGGGCCUGGGUCCGUGUCUCCAGUACCAUCUCCGGGGCCCCUCCUCUCAG